UAACUGACGCUGAGCUCGAAAGUAUGGGUAGCAAACAGGAUUAGAUACCCUGGUAGUCCAUACCGUAAACGAUGAAUGCUAAGUGUUGGAGGGUUUCCCCCUUCAGUGCUGCAGCUAACGCAUUAAGCAUUCCGCUGGGGAGUACGGCCGCAAGGCUGAAACUCAAAGGAAUUGACGGGGGCCCGCACAAGCGGUGGAGCAUGUGGUUUAAUUCGAAGCUACGCGAAGAACCUUACCAGGUCUUGACAUACUAUGCAAAUCUAAGAGAUUAGACGUUCCCUUCGGGGACAUGGAUACAGGUGGUGCAUGGUUGUCGUCAGCUCGUGUCGUGAGAUGUUGGGUUAAGUCCCGCAACGAGCGCAACCCUUAUUAUCAGUUGCCAGCAUUAAGUUGGGCACUCUGGUGAGACUGCCGGUGACAAACCGGAGGAAGGUGGGGAUGACGUCAAAUCAUCAUGCCCCUUAUGACCUGGGCUACACACGUGCUACAAUGGAUGGUACAACGAGUUGCGAACUCGCGAGAGUAAGCUAAUCUCUUAAAGCCAUUCUCAGUUCGGAUUGUAGGCUGCAACUCGCCUACAUGAAGUCGGAAUCGCUAGUAAUCGCGGAUCAGCAUGCCGCGGUGAAUACGUUCCCGGGCCUUGUACACACCGCCCGUCACACCAUGAGAGUUUGUAACACCCAAAGUCGGUGGGGUAACCUUUAGGAACCAGCCGCCUAAGGUGGGACAGAUGAUUAGGGUGAAGUCGUAACAAGGUAACCA
rnacentral:rRNA from 1 species